UGUCAGAUAAUGAUGCUCCCAGAGCCAACAGGUCCUUAUUUUCAGCCAUUCCUGCAAAAAGUAUUGUCUCUCCACUGGGCUCUGGUCAGGGAGGCAUAGUGCUUACUAUCCUCUGGGAUACCUAUGCUCAUCUCUAUCAUCCCGUUGACCUACCAUUUUUAUUUCUUGACAUGUGGAGCACAGCUGCUUAUUUCUGAUCAGCAUGGGGUUACUCUGGAUCCUCCUGGCCUGAGGGGAGAAACAGAGGAAGAAGGCCUCCCUAAGCAGGGAUCUACCUCCUGACAUCAUGGCUGACCCAGUGGUAACUCACAGAGUGGAGCUGUCACCAUGAUCGGGUGUCACCACGAGUGGGGCGCUGUGACAAGUGCUUAGGAACACCACCCUGGCACACCAGCAGCCACCCUGUGUACUCCUCAGACUCUUCUGUGUUAGAACUGCUUGUGCCAAACUAGGUAAUACUUAAAACACAUCUAUAACUUUCUUACUGAGGCCUUAGGAAAGUUUUGCCAAAAAUAAUUGGAACCCAGAGCGUUAGCCAGAUGAAGAGUUUCUAAUCUUUAAGAAUUGUUGAUAGUGGGA